UGGGGUAUCGCCAAGCGGUAAGGCACGGGACUUUGACUCCCGCAUUCGUUGGUUCGAAUCCAGCUACCCCAGCCA
rnacentral:tRNA from 1 species